rnacentral:rRNA from 1 species
CAGUAGCCGCGGUAAUACGAAGGGGGCUAGCGUUGCUCGGAAUUACUGGGCGUAAAGGGAGCGUAGGCGGGUCGUUUAGUCAGAGGUGAAAUCCCGGGGCUCAACCUCGGAACUGCCUUUGAUACUGGCGACCUUGAGUAUGGGAGAGGUAAGUGGAACUCCGAGUGUAGAGGUGAAAUUCGUAGAUAUUCGGAAGAACACCAGUGGCGAAGGCGACUUACUGGCCCAUUACUGACGCUGAGGCUCGAAAGCGUGGGGAGCAAACAGGAUUAGAUACCCGAGUAGUCCCUGUCUCUUAUAA